rnacentral:rRNA from 1 species
AUUGAACGCUGGCGGCAGGCCUAACACAUGCAAGUCGAACGGUAGCACAGAGAGCUUGCUCUCGGGUGACGAGUGGCGGACGGGUGAGUAAUGUCUGGGAAACUGCCCGAUGGAGGGGGAUAACUACUGGAAACGGUAACUAAUACCGCACAACGUCUUCGGACCAAAGUGGGGGACCUUCGGGCCUCACACCAUCGGAUGUGCCCAGAUGGGAUUAGCUAGUAGGUGGGGUAAUGGCUCACCUAGGCGACGAUCCCUAGCUGGUCUGAGAGGAUGACCGGCCACACUUGAACUGGGAGACGGUCCAGAUUCCUACAGGAGGCAGCAGUGGGGAAUAGUGCACAAUGGGCGCGAGUCUGAUGCAGCCAUGCCGCGUGUAUGAAGAAGGCCUUCGGGUUGUAAAGUACUUUCAGCGGGGAGGAAGGCGUUAAGGUUAAUAACCUUGGCGAUUGACGUUACCCGCAGAAGAAGCACCGGCUAACUCCGUGCCAGCAGCCGCCGUAAGAC